UCCCUGGAGGGCUAGUGGUUAGUCUGCGGCGCUCUCACUGCCAUGGCACAGGUUCGAUUCCCAGAUGGGGAA